GAUGAACGCUGGCGGCGUGCCUAAUACAUGCAAGUCGAGCGAACGGACGAGAAGCUUGCUUCUCUGACGUUAGCGGCGGACGGGUGAGUAACACGUGGAUAACCUACCUAUAAGACUGGGAUAACUUCGGGAAACCGGAGCUAAUACCGGAUAAUAUUUUGAACCGCAUGGUUCAAAAGUGAAAGACGGUUUUGCUGUCACUUAUAGAUGGAUCCGCGCUGCAUUAGCUAGUUGGUAAGGUAACGGCUUACCAAGGCGACGAUGCGUAGCCGACCUGAGAGGGUGAUCGGCCACACUGGAACUGAGACACGGUCCAGACUCCUACGGGAGGCAGCAGUAGGGAAUCUUCCGCAAUGGGCGAAAGCCUGACGGAGCAACGCCGCGUGAGUGAUGAAGGUCUUCGGAUCGUAAAACUCUGUUAUUAGGGAAGAACAUAUGUGUAAGUAACUGUGCACAUCUUGACGGUACCUAAUCAGAAAGCCACGGCUAACUACGUG
rnacentral:rRNA from 1 species